GUUCUAUAGUACAGACCAAAUGGCUCUUCCCCGUUCCACUUUGCCCAAGAAGCAAAAGGUUAUGACCAUUUUUUACCUCAUUCAAUGCUAUAAGCUGUUUGACAUUCAUUUUGUUAUGAAACACACGUGUACACAACGACACUAAUGUACAGUUAUAAAUUGACCAAAAUUUCCCACAUUUAUUUUUAGCCAGACGAUUGACCAAUGAGAAACCAGUAUAAAAUUACAUGCGGACUGGGUGUUGCCAAAGUUUGAGACGAAUGCAAAAAAAAAUCCCGUUGACCGACUUCUGAGACCUGCUACUAAUGAUCCCGACAACAAUGAUAGUCGUGUCAUAUACCAUUGUGUAGAUAAAUCAAUUUAGAUUUACGGCAUAUUAAGUUUAAGUAGGUUUGACAACCGA
rnacentral:lncRNA from 1 species